CGGGCUCGAGUUGUAUUAGCUGUACAUCCCCUGUACCUGAGUACUAACCUAUACUUGCUGUGUGAUAGUCGUACGGUAGCUACAUGUAGCUGGCUAUAGUGUUCUAAGAAAUCAAGUUGGUGAACUGUUCUACUAAACAAAGAAUCCUCAUCCUUUACGGACAGCUACAGAGCAGUCAUACGAAUGGGUCACCAAGUUUUUGGGGGAAGAGUUAUGAGAGAAUAAACGACGAAAGUGUCAGUUGGAAGAGCCAAGGGUGUACUUCGGCAGACUGUAGCACGUUCACUGAACCACUACCAAAGAGGACAUUCAAG